UUUUUUUUUUUAAGGCCCCUAAGACUCCAGUGUUUACAAGACCAGAAAUGCCACGGCCACGUCCUGGCAGAAAGAAAGGCUGAAAUGGAGGACCGACGCCUUCCUUAUAAGGUAUCCCUGAGGAAGAAGGACCAGGAAAGAAGGCGAGUUUGGGAUCAAAGGGGCUUCAUUCUGGGCCCAGUGCCCACCUGAAGAUGGCAAUGAACUUGGAAGACUGUCUUCCUUUCACUGGCCUCACCUGCCAGCUCAUUGGGGCCUGAGCCAGUAUCAACUUGGUAGAAAAAGCAAGCUUGAAGCCAGAGAGCGAGCCUAAGGAGG
rnacentral:lncRNA from 1 species